rnacentral:lncRNA from 1 species
GGCACACUGAUGUGCUCUGCUCUGCGUGGGGUGAGGUCAGGGUGGGCUUAAAGCUCAGAGCACCAUCAGGUGCUGCUCGAGCAUCGUCUCAGAGGGGCUUAGGCCAAACAUUCCAGAUGAACCUGGAGAUAAAUGAGAUUUGAAAAUGAAUGGGAAGGAAAAGCUGAUCCAGGAAAAAAAAGCAUGGAUGAAAGGGAAAGGGAAAGCCCCAAAGGUGAGACUCACUGUGAGCAGCUGCAGCUUGAGCCAGCUUCAGAGAGCACCAAAAAUAGCUCACAUCGGGUGCCAGCCUGAGCGCACGCAUGCAUGCUCGAUAUGUAACUUCCCAUAUUCUGUUCUGGUAGUGUAAAAGCGAACAAAAUAGCUCAGCAAAAGCCCAGCUGCUGCCCACUCGUGUUUCGGUGUUUAUCUCAAUGCAUUUGCACUGCUUGACCUCCGGAGGUGUGGAGCCCCAUGGCUGAGCCGCAGCCCAGCGCAGGUCUCCUUGCUCCGGGAUGAGGCAGGGCUCUGCUCUGUAUCUGAUGUGAUUUCUUCUUUGGAAAAGAGAAGUGUGAUUCAGCGGUCAGAGAAUCCCCCCCACUUCGGAUUUCCUGGAAAUGCAGAUGUCCUCUGGCAGGAGAGCUGAGCCGAGUGACCCCUGCCUGCAGGAUGCUCCUGGCCGUCAGCAGGGAAAUCUGUGGGAUAACUUUGGGGGUGAUUUGAAGCUCCUGAGAACCACCUCCUUGGGUCCAAGUGUGGCUUUUUUCUCUCUUCCUUCCCCUUUCUCCCCCUUCCUUUCUUUCUCUGAGAUGUGGGGAUGCUCCCCUGCCCUCUGCUCAGUGCUCCAGUUGUGGCCCAUGGUCAAUGUUUGGUCAACCGUUGGUCAACCAUUGGUCAACCAGAACACCAUUGGUCUUCUUGACCACCAGAGCACACUGCUGGCUCAUGGUCAAUCUUUGGUCAACUGUUGGUCCCCCAUUGGUCAACCAGGACACCACUGGUCUUCUUGGCCAUGAGAGCACACUGGUGGCUCGUGGUCACCAUGGUGGCCAGGAUGAUCCAUGCUGACUGCUUGACAAUGUGUAUAUAUCAUAAAUGAUGGAGUGGUGUGGGUUGGAAGGGACCUUGAAGAUAAGAAUUCUGCACUGAAAGGAGUACCUGACUCAAUUUAUAAUAAUAAAGAGCUGCUACGCUCCCUGAAUUAAUGGCAGACCAUGGAUCUGCAUAAUAUUCUGGAUUGAUAUUAUUCCAUUUUCAAAGACAAGAUGCUUCAGACGGCAAGAUAAAUAGCAAAGAAAAGGCUGGUUUGCUGCACGGCUCUUUCCUGCCUGCACAUCCUGUAUCGCUCCGGAGCAACCUUUGCUUUUAGCAGCCGGAUGCAUCGCAUCCAAUCGAUGGAGGCAGCAGUGGGGACUGAGGGAGUCCUGAGGGAGAGGGCAGGAAAUGGCAGCAAUCACCCACAGCCAGCCCUGUGCUGCUGCUGCUCGCUGCGGGCGUUGCUGGAUUUCAGAUUUUCUAAAUAAAUCCAUGGCAAAGAGUCUUUUCCAGAGCUUCAUGAAGUCAGCCAGGCUCAGGGUGCAGCUGUGUGAGAUUUCCAAUGUGCAAUUCCUAGUUUUUCCCUCUUUAAAUAGGCCUGUGGGUUGUAACAGCACGAAGCAGCGUCCUGCAGGUUUGGGAAGCGAGAGAAAAAGCUGCAGUGACAGCACAGAGCUCGUGCUGCAGGGGGCAAGUCUCCCCAGUUCCUGCAUUUAACCAACCCGACCCUUAUGUUUUCUCUCUCUGGGAUUUCUCUGCUGUCACGCUGCUGAUCACAGGGGAUCUGUUGCUGGGACCGAACACGUGGCCAAACAAAGCUCAGCUCAGCGGUGUGCUCCCAGUGAGCAGCCCCACCAGCUGCCUGCUGCAAACACUUCUUGGGAUCUGCAUUCCCUGCUGGGCUAUGGCUGGGGCCCUGCAUUGCUGUUCAUUGAGAAGACAAUGCUUUUCUGAUUGUUUGGCACCAGGUCCACGCACGUGUGAGCUGCGGGUGCUGCAGGAGAUGCAAUACGUGCUGCAGGAGAUGCAAUACGUGCUGCAGGAGGUGCUGCAGGAGCAGAAAGUGCUGCAGGAUGAGCAACAGGUGCUGCAGAAGAUGCAAUAUGUGCUACAGGAGAUGCAAUAGGCGCUGCAGGAGAUGCAAUAGGCGCUGCAGGAGAUGCAAUAGGUGCUGCAGGAGCAGUGAGUGCUGCAAGAGAUGCAAUGUGUGCUGCAGGAUGAGCAACAGGUGCUGCAGGAGAUGCAGUAGGUGCUGCAGGAGGUGCAGUGGAUACUAUAGGGCGGCACCGGGGGGACUUCGCCCACCCACACCACGCUGCACAGCGCCACGAACCCCAUUUCAAUACGAAAUCACCCCAAAAGCGCCGGAUCCCAACGCUCCUUUCGGAACCCCACAUCCACUCCCCCACACCCCGUUCGGUCCCAGCUUCCAGGAGCCCUUCGAGGCCUCGGGGGCAGCUCAGCUCCAACCCAACCCCGAGGCUUCGCGGCCCGGUCCGGCCCGCCCGCGGGGUGAGGCCUCGGC